AGAGUUUGAUUAUGGCUCAGAAUCAACGCUGGCGGCGUGCCUCAGACAUGCAAGUCGAACGAUUAAACUUUCCUUCGGGAAAGAUAUAAAGUGGCGUACGGGUGAGUAACACGUAAGUAAUCUACCUUUGAGUGGGGAAUAACAUCGGGAAACCGGUGCUAAUACCGCAUAAUGCAGCGGCACCGCAAGGUGACAGUUGUUAAAGCAUUUAUGCGCUUAAAGAGGAGCUUGCGGCAGAUUAGCUAGUUGGUAAGGUAAUGGCUUACCAAGGCUUCGAUCUGUAGCCGGUCUAAGAGGACGGUCGGUCACACUGACACUGAAUAACGGGUCAGACUCCUACGGGAGGCAGCAGUCGGGAAUUUUGGGCAAUGGGGGAAACCCUGACCCAGCAACGCCGCGUGAAGGAUGAAGUAUUUCGGUAUGUAAACUUCGAAAGAAUGGGAAGAAUCAAUGACGGUACCAUUUAUAAGGUCCGGCUAACUACGUGCCAGCAGCCGCGGUAAUACGUAGGGACCAAGCGUUGUUCGGAUUCACUGGGCGUAAAGGGCGCGUAGGCGGCAGUUCAAGUCAGUUGUGAAAUCUCAGGGCUUAACCCUGAACGGUCAACUGAUACUGUUUUGCUAGAGUGCAGAAGGGCAAUCGGAAUUCUUGGUGUAGCGGUGAAAUGCGUAGAUAUCAAGAGGAACACCUGAGGUGAAGACGGGUUGCUGGGCUGACACUGACGCUGAGGCACGAAAGCUAGGGUAGCAAACGGGAUUAGAUACCCCGGUAGUCCUAGCCCUAAACGAUGAAUGCUUGGUGUCUGGAGUUUCAUAGUCCUCGGGUGCCGGCGCUAACGCAUUAAGCAUCCCGCCUGGGGAGUACGGUCGCAAGACUGAAACUCAAAUGAAUUGACGGGG
rnacentral:rRNA from 1 species